AUGUACCCCCCGGACACUCCGGCUCCUCCGCGCCGUCCGCACCCACCUGACGACUGCUCGCAACGUUUUGUUAACC
rnacentral:sRNA from 1 species